rnacentral:rRNA from 1 species
UACGAAGGGGGCUAGCGUUGCUCGGAAUCACUGGGCGUAAAGGGUGCGUAGGCGGGUCUUAAGUCAGGGGUGAAAUCCUGGAGCUCAACUCCAGAACUGCCUUCGAUACUGGCAAUCUCGAGUCCGGAAGAGGUUGGUGGAACAGCUAGUGUAGAGGUGAAAUUCGUAGAUAUUAGCUAGAACACCAGUGGCGAAGGCGGCCAACUGGUCCGGUACUGACGCUGAGGUGCGAAAGCGUGGGGAGCAAACAGG